rnacentral:lncRNA from 1 species
AUCUCUUUUCCAGCACCCUCAGGGGCGAUCCGACAGAGGUGCCCCGGGGUCGCAGGUGAGUGUUGGGUUGCAGCGGAGCAACGGGGACUGGGGAGCUCGAGGGAGCAGAGGAGACUUGGCAGGGUGGGUCUCUGUGGGGUGUCGCCUCGGUGAGCUUUGGUUUUGACAUUGAAGAGCGCAGGAUCCCGAGGCUGUGGAGUAAAGUCCCACUCAUAAUUGUCACCUGACUCGGGAGAAGCUCUGGGCCUCUGCAGAAGUGAGGGAAACCUAGGUAGGGCUAUUGCUGACCAUUCGGAAAGCAAUAAUAACCCUCCAAGUUGCCUGGACUCUAGUUGGGCGCUGCACCACCUUGACCCCUCCCCCACCGAAAACUCCAGGCUGUGGGAUCCAUCGUCCCAGAGGCCUCAACUGCACCUUCCCAACGUUACUUCGUAGCGGGAGACCCUUAAGCAAACUUCAGUUGUGUUUAUCACCUCAAGUUUUAAAGGAAGGAAAAUAAUUACCCUGUAAUAAUAUUGAGGAAAGGGAAGUCACUCUUGAAAUAAGAUUGGAGUGAGACAGGGGUGGAGGGAAGUUUGUAGAUUUGGAAUGCUUUUCUUCUUAACUACUUAGUGACUCCCUCUCUCCCCCGCCCCCCCCCAAACCUACCCUCUUUCCCUCCCUUCUUUCUUCCUUCCUUCCUUCCUUUCUUUUUUCCUUUCUUUCUUUCUCUCUCUCUCUCUUUCUUUCUUUCUUUCUUUCUUUCUUUCUUUCUUUCUUUCUUUAAUUUAGAUGUUAUUGCCAGUUUUUUUUUUCCAGAUCUUUUAGUUCUAUGUUAGACAAAAACCUAGAAAGUCCAUUCAGUCGUUACAGAGGAAAUACCUAGUUUUAUCUUACAGUACAUCAUUGGUAGUUAUGUGAGUGCACUGCACAACAUUUCUGUUUCUGAACAGUAAAGAAUAAUUGUGGAAGCCCUCCACAAGUUGGAGGGUUAUUUAUUCUUCCUUUCCCAAUGGUCAGGAAGUUCAGGAAAACAGCUGCUGUCUGUGGUUCGAACACUGGGACCUGAGAUUUAGUGACUGACUGUCAAGUUCCUUACUGUAAGAACAGGAUGAAAACAAUAAAGAGGGGGACGUGUUGGGCAUCAAAAAUAGUGUAAUUGUACAUUUUAUGACCGGUUCUAUCCCUAGCACCAGGAAUGGUGCCCCAAAUGUAGGAGCUGAGUAAAUACCUUUGAUGAACUUAUUUGGGAGUCUGUUAGAGAAAAUCCAAACCUCUCAUACACAGCAUCAAGGUACUAGGAAUGGUACAAAAAGACAGACAUAUUCAUAAUCUGCUAGUUUUUGCUUUUGUAAACGCAGCUAACAGAUUUUAUCUCUGACUGCACUGAUGCUCAAAUGUUCUUUAACUCAAUACUGUCAAGGCUUCAGGUAAAGUCUUUCUCUGGAUUAAGUGAAGACUGACCAGAAUAAGGGUCCUCUAGAGUAACAGAACUUUUAGAAAGUAUGUAUGUAUGUGUGUAUGUAUAUAUAUGUAUAUAUAUAUACAUACAUAUAUAUGAAUGACUUACCAGCUGCAGUCUAAUCCAACAGUGGCUGCUAAUCCAACAGUGGCUGGCUAUAAAUGGAGAGUCCAAGAGUCUAGUUCAAUUUAUGAGGCUGGAUGUCUCAGCUGGUCAUUAGCAUAAUCUGGAAUCCCAGAGAAUUAGGCUCUAAUGAUAAUGAAGGAAUGGACUAGUGAGGUGAGAACAAGCAGGCCAAGAGCAUAAGUGUCCUUCUUCUGUGUCUCUACAUGGGGUUCACCAGAAGAUGCGGCCCAGGUUAGAGGUGGAUUUUUCCAGCUCAAAUGACCUGGAUCAAAGGUGUAUCUUUCUACCUUAAAGAUCUGGAUUAGAAAUAGAUUUUCCUACAUGAAAUUAAGC